GGACAGCAGAAAAUCCGUCCGCUUUGGAAGCACUACUUUUUCAAUACUCAAGCUGUUAUAUUUGUGGUGGACAGCAGUAACAGGGACCGUCUUGCCGAGUCUUGUAACGAGCUUGCCAAACUUGUCCAGGAGAAGGAACUCAAGGAAGCCUCGCUGCUCAUCUUUGCCAACAAACAGGAUGCAGACAACUGUAUCAGCAUAGAGUCAAUCACGGAGAACUUUGGUCUGUUCAAGUUGUGCUGUAACAGGAGCUGGCACAUCCAGGCUUGUGAUGUCAAGAGCGGACUCGGGCUUCAGGACGGCAUCGAGUGGUUGUCACGGCAAAUGGUGGCAGCAGGGGCCUCAGAGUUCGCAUGACAAACGCGGUGACCUCAGUGAAAGAGAGCUGUGGUUGUCGUGGCAGAUGGUGGCAGCCAGGCCAUUCAAUAGCCAUGGUUUUUGUAUGACCACAGCUUCCCUUUUUGAGGGAGAAUCGUGGUUGUGGCGGUAGUUUGUGGCAGUCAGGAUUUUGUUUUACAAAGAAAAUAACAGUUUACUAGUAAUAAAAUCUAGUGAUUCAUCACUUACAAAAUAAUUUACUUCGCUAAACAAGUUCAAAUGUAAAAAUAGUUCAAAUCAUUUGGAAUAAUUGUUAGUCUUGAAGAUCACCGAAUGAGCAGAAAAGCAUUACAAAUUAAUUUUAAGUUUUAUAUAAAACUCAUCAAAGUGCCUCUGCUUUUGCUUGAUCACAGGGCUCAAUGUAUGACAACAACAGCUCCCUCUGUGAGAAAGAGUGCACGAAUUUGUUAUUUUGUUAUUUCGUAUACAGUUGUUGGACUUGUUAUUUUGUUUUUCAGUUGUUGCUUGAUUUUUUUUUACAUUAUAUGUGUACUUUAUCAUCAUUAAAAUAAUCAAAACUAU
rnacentral:misc_RNA from 1 species